rnacentral:misc_RNA from 1 species
GAUGAAGAACGUAGCGAAAUGCGAUACGUAAUGUGAAUUGCAGAAUUCAGUGAAUCAUCGAGUCUUUGAACGCACAUUGCGCCCCCUGGUAUUCCGGGGGGCAUGCCUGUCCGAGCGUCAUUGCUGCCCUCAAGCCCGGCUUGUGUGUUGGGUCUCGUCCCCCUUCCCGGGGGGACGGGCCCGAAAGGCAGCGGCGGCACCGCGUCCGGUCCUCGAGCGUAUGGGGCUUUGUCACCCGCUCUGUAGGCCCGGCCGGCGCUUGCCGAUCAACCAAAACUUUUUUCCAGGUUGACCUCGGAUCAGGUAGGGAUACCCGCUGAACUUAAGCAUGUCAAUAAGCGGAGGA